rnacentral:ncRNA from 1 species
UUAAAAACGAUAAUGAAGGAAAGUAAACAUAGACCGAUGAUAUACAGCGAUUCGAGGACGGUGCAAGCUCGAUUAUUGUUACUAUGUGGAAAAUCACCUUUUAGUUUUAUCUCUGAAUGAUACAUAGUAAGAGGUAGCGUUUCAUUCACGUUACGAAUGUUCAAGUGGAAAUAAGUUCUUUUUAUUUUCAUUAGGGUGGUACCACGGGUAGUCUUCUCGUCCCUAUU